AAAUGUGCCGCCCAGUGACCUAAUUAUAUUCCGCCACGCCAUAGUUUGUUGCAAUUCGUAAUAACCACGUCGUCGUAUCUUCAUUAAGCAAACUUUACUUACUCUAUCUCUAAAGUUCAGGAGAUUUAUUUCUAAUAAUACAGAAGAUAACAUUGAAUAAUCAGAAAGUAAACAAAGAAACGAAUCUUUUGAUCUCUAC